UCUGGUCACAGGUUCAAGCCCCACAUCAGGCUCUGCACUGAGUGCCGAGUCUGUGUUCUCUCUCCCUCUGCCCCUCCCUCUGCUUGCACAUACUCUCUCACAUAAAUAAAAUCUAAAAAAAAAAAAAAAUAGGCUUUGGCAGAUUAAGACAGAUUCCUAAUCCUCUUGAAUUAUAUAGUCAAGCAUAUUUGUGUUUAUGUACCUUUUUCCAGGAAGAGUGUUCAUGGUUUUCACCAAAUUCUUAAAGGGUGCUGCAUACCUAGAAUACAAUAGAAUUCAGAAUACAAUGGGAACACUGACUACUUAGCCUAGUUAUUACAAGUUCUUAGAUUCCCAACAAAUACAUUUUUAAAGCCACAGUUAUGAAAAACAGUUUAUUUAGCUUUUGUCACAUUAAACUUCUUUCCACAACAGUUCCAUAAAUAUUAAGGGGACACAGUGGAGGAAAAGCAGUACCUGGAAGGAAUGGAAAGCAGACCUCAAAACCUCCUUUCACACAACAGCAAACAUUCAUUUGAAAAGACCCAGAUACACAAGCCUGCUUUGUGGCACAAAGCAUUCACCUGAAAAAACAAGGGAGAGCCACCAGCAGGCUCCAAGGUCCACGGGACCACCGAAUCGUCACAUUACAGAACCACGAGUCGUGGCAUUGAGACACCUAGCACAGAAGCACAAGCACAGCAAUGUAGACUGUGCUGUUAGCAGGAGCUGCUCUGGGCUGGCCUGAGCAGACCUCUGCCCUUCCCAUAAAGGAAGCCCUCCGAGCACCUCACAGCCACUGGCCUCAUAAGUGAAUAGGAUCCUUAGAACUCAAAAAACAAGGAUCCUUGACUCCAAAACAACAGAAGGAUUAGAAGAUCACAUAUCGCAGACAAUGCACUUCUUUGAGCUGCCACUCGAGCCAAAAGUCCAGCAACUUUGAAGCUAUAAAGAAUUAAGGGCAUGUGUUUCACACUACUCCACAGGGAAGCAUCAGUACCUAAAAGGUGUGCGCGUUUUACACAGGGAAAUGUCCAACGAGCGGACUCCACAUCAGUGCAUUUGGGAAGAGCAACAGCAGGUAUGAGGAGAUGACCGGAGUGCCCCCCGCUAGCUCAUGAGCCCAGGAUGGCAAGACGGAAACGAUCGAACUCACUUCUUUCCGCCUGUUCUAUAACAUUUCACGCAGACCCCUAUCUUGGCAGAAAAGAUAGGAUCUACGGGGUCAGUAGAAAGCAACUGGUCGAGUCUGUUAGGCAUGGAGAUUCAACUCCAGCAGCCGACUUAGGGAGGCAAGUCCUGUGGCAGGAACAGUGGCGGCCCGGCAGCAGAAGACUUAACUUCCUGUCGGAGUUUAUCAAAGCCCCCUCUGGGCUUUAAUCUACACAUGUAUCCAAGAUGAGAUUGAACUUCUGCAUCAGGUUUGUAAGCUGUCACUGUAUCUAGAGUGUUGUGCAAAUCGGGAGGACCCCACAGAAGCCCGAGCGGCAUGCAUGUCAGAUGCCAACUGAUGCGUGCGUUCUGUGGUCUAAGAAUCUCUUUUCAGUUUUGUGUUAAACUCAGCUGCAGGAUUACCUUAAGCACUAGAACUCGGUCUCUGCUCAGCUCUGUCACUCACUUCCCUGUGGGACCCUGGGCAAGUUCGCUUAUACUCCGGUUUCCACAACCAGAAAGUUAGGAUCACUGUAAUUAUUAUUAAAUGUGAAAGUAUGAGGCCUUGAGAACUGUGUCUGACACACAGUAAGUGGCACACAGAUAUUUUUAGGUGCUAAAUGGUAUAUUUUUAUCCUUUCCUUCACAUAGUCUUUAUAAUGUGUUCUAAAAGGUUUCUAGCAGCUUAAAGAAAUGUGUCAAAUCUUACUUAAUAAAAAAAAAAUGCCAUGUAUCAAAAUAGACCUAGACGCAGAAAGUCCACCUUGAAUUUGGAAAGGUGUCUGUAUGUGCAAGCUCCUUAGCAGAUUUAAAGAACGACCAAACUGGUUUCACAUGCUGGAACAUUCUAGAAUUGCUUCAUCCUAGCUUAUAUAUAUGAAUAUAUAUAUAUAUAUAUAUAUAUAUAUAUAUAUAUAUAUAUAUAUAUAUCUCUGCCAAGAAGUGGUAACUGAUUUCUUUUUACUGAAAUCUGGAGCGAUUGCCCUCCUAGCCAAGCUGGCAGGUGACAUAAUUCAGGGAGAGACCGUCUCCCUCCCAGAGCCUGUGUCGACUUUGUCUGGUUUUGUUCUUAAUACAGUUGAGGCCCUCCAGAUUUAUGUUCCCACCUCACGUUUUUAAGAAAAAUCUCUUCAAAAUUAUUUUAGGGUCAAGUCCUCUGUAGUUGGUCCCAGCGGACCGUGUGACAGGCCUGAGGCCACACGGAGGGGCUGGAGGGAGGGGAAGGAGGGGGCAGUUAAGACGAUGCCUGAAAACUCACUGCAGGCCCAGCUCGCCCACCCUGGUCCUCUUUUUAGGGAUUGCUAGCGCCCCC